AGAUAGAGUACUGCAACAUGAGGCCUACAUCGCCCCCCGUAGAGUUGACUGAAUUCCCACCACAGAAGUCACGGUUACAGCCAGGUCGCGGUAACUUUGAAGUCGGUGGUAUUGGCAGCGGCGGUUCCUCUCCAAGGGCUACGGG